CCAGAACAUAUUUGCAUCGUAACCUAAUCCUUGAAAUUGCUACACCUUAAAAAUAUUUUAUCAAGAAUUUAGUAGCUAAUGUGUUUUUCCCCCGUAAUCCAUACAUCGUAACCCCACCCAAAGUUCUAAAAUCUUCCUACGAGAGUGAAAGGAUUAUUUAUAGUUAACAACAAGAGGAGGGUUUCUCUCUCUCUCUCUCUCUCUCUCUCUCUCUCUCUCUCUCUCUCUCUCUCUCUCUCUCUGUCCAAAAAUAAACAGGGGAACUUAAGGAACUGCGUGUCCUCUGUGUACAAAAACAUUUUGCUGUCUGUGAUUGCAACACCACACCUUCUCUGGAGCCUCUGGAUCUUUAAAGAUAAAAAUCUGCAGUAUUCAUCUGCACGGGUUCUACACAACAAACAAUUAACGCUUUCUUUCUACUAUCAUUCAUCAUCGAUACAUUAGAGCAUGAAACAGAAACUCUUGGACAAGUGCCGAGGUUUUUGCCCCACAUCAAGGGCAGACUCGGACCCAGACCUGAAAGCACCAGCAGGUCCUGAAGCCCAGACAGAGAGGAUGGUGAUGAAGAGGGAGAUCUCUUUGGCCAAUAGCGUGUGCCUCAUCAUAGGAAACAUGAUUGGCUCAGGGAUCUUUGUGUCACCCAAAGGCGUCCUCUUACACAGCAUGUCUUAUGGCCUGUCGCUGCUCAUCUGGGCACUCGGGGGCUUGUUCUCCGUUUUCGGUGCUCUCUGCUAUGCCGAGCUUGGCACCACCAUUGGCAAGUCAGGUGCUAGUUACGCGUAUAUCCUAGAGUCCUUUGGUGGAUUUCUGGCCUUCAUCCGCCUCUGGACAUCAAUCCUGCUGGUGGAGCCGGCGAGCCAGGCUGUCAUCUCUCUGACAUUUGCCAACUACCUGGUGGAGGCUUUAUACCCAACGUGCCAACCUCCGUACGAUGCUGUACGAGUCAUCGCUGCUGCCUGCAUCUGUGUGCUGAUCUUUAUAAACUGUGCUUAUGUGAAAUGGGGAACACUGGUCCAGGAUAUCUUCACCUACACCAAGAUUUCUUCCCUCAUCCUCAUCAUUGCAAUCGGCAUUAUAAAAAUCAUUCAAGGAGAGACUCAGAACUUCGAGAAUUCAUUCGAGGGAUCCUCCUUGGAGGCUGGGAGCAUUGCCCUCGCACUCUACUCGGCUCUGUUCUCCUACUCCGGCUGGGAUACACUUAACUUUGUUACAGAGGAGAUUGUGAAUCCAGAAAGGAAUUUACCCCUGGCCAUUGCCAUCUCCAUGCCGAUUGUAACCAUUAUCUAUCUGCUUACAAAUGUGGCGUACUACUUGGUAAUGGACAUACCUUCCUUCAUGGCCAGUGAUGCAGUUGCAGUGACUUUUGGGAAUCAGGUUCUGGGACCCAUUAGCUGGGUCAUUCCCAUUGCUGUGGCUAUGUCCUGUUACGGAGGACUCAAUGCCUCCAUCAUUGCUGCCUCUAGGUUGUUCUUCGUGGGGGCGAGAGAGGGCCACCUACCAGACAGCCUGGCUCUGAUCCAUGCUAAACGCUACACUCCUGUCCCUGCACUCAUCUUCAACGGUGUGAUGGGACUCAUCUUUUUGUGUGUAGAAGAUGUAUUCCUGCUAAUCAAUUACUUCAGCUUCAGCUACUGGCUGUAUGUGGGAUUAUCUGUGGUGGGACUCAUCUACCUUCGCUUCACACAGCCAGACAGACACAGACCUGUGAAGCUGACACUGCUCAUUCCCUUCAUCUAUUGCUUCUGCAGUCUUUUCUUGGUCAUCGUGCCCCUCUAUAGUGACACAAUCAAUUCCCUCAUUGGAAUAGCCAUUGCUCUCUCUGGUAUACCAGUGUACUACUUCUGCAUCUACCUGCCUGAGGAGAAGAGGCCAAAAUGGCUGAGUCGGCUCAAUGCCUCCAUCACCAAAUACACCCAGAUCGUGUGCUACUGCUGUCUAACUGACCUCGACCCGGAGCCAGAGAAAUCGACUGAGAACAAGACUCAGUGAUUUACACAGAAAUGAGUUCUCUACCUAAAGACGGCAUCAAUUUUCAAACGUUUAAAGUGGACCUUGGCACGAUGGUGAACUUAGAAGAACAACCGAGUCUGGUGAAGAGCUGUAAAAUUUUGUAUUCCUGCCUCGGGUUCCUGGAACAGGCUUGUGCCACAACCCUGAUCAGGAUAAAGCCAUCUAUCCAUCCAACCAUCCAUCUAUGAACAUUAAUACACACCGCCCCCUGGUGGAAGAGAGUGAAGGAGAAAGUACACACCCAAACAGAACAAUCAAUGUAAACAAACGGCAAAUAGAAAGUAUGCAAAGUAUCUUUGUCCCUUGACAUCUGACCUCGUCUUCCAGUCCAUUCUCUCAACCUCAACCUAUAGCAAUGUCUAUUUAAUGUUUAUUUCAACGUUUCAGAUAUCACAAGUGUUCUAUUCACGAGUGAAAUUAUAUAAUACUUCAUAUAAGUAUGAUUAUUAGCAAUUAUAGAAAGAUUUUAUAUACAGGAAGUGACACUAGCUGUUAGUGAAUGUGCUCAUUGAAAUGCAAAACAGUAAAUGGCUGAAUGUUCUAGUCACAGAAUUAACAUAAAUUAGCUCAUACUAAAUGCACAGCCUGCUUACAUGUACAAAUAGAGUUAUAUAUUAAAAGACACUCCAUUAUAUCCUUCAAGCAUAAAUUAAUGUGCUUUAUUUCACCAGAUAUUGUGACCAAUUGAGCCCUUGACUAUUAUACAAUGCCCUCGUCUGAUUGGCUGAUAAGGAGUCAGCUUUCAUAGCAACACUAUAGGCAUUAUUCAUAUAAAUUAUAAGGCAUAUACAUAUACACUAAUUAGUAAGUGCUUUGCAUAAGUAUUCAAUCCUCCUUGGAUGUUUCCACCUUAUCCUGGAAGUGAAAUUGGUUUAAUACAUACAACUUGCAAUGAAAUGAACACCUGGCAGGGAGAAAAAUUGCAAAAUUAUAUGCAAAUUUAAAAUUGUUGGAGGAAAAAACAAGCAUCGUCAUCACAUAAAUAUUCACCUCAUUGUCUUUUUUGAAUUUUUCUCUAGGCAACUCCCUGUUUUUUUUCUCUCCGUUGUUGCCUCUAGGCUUGCUGCUUACGCUAAAUUUAAGUAUAAACUUACCUACAACCUAAAGCCUCUUUAUGGCACUGUCUGCUCUUAAACUUGAUGAUGUAAUGAAUUGUAUCACACAGGCACCUGAUAGACCACAUGUCUAUGUCAUGACAUUGAGACAUGGUUCAUAUGAGCUGGCAUGUAAUGGCUACGCCUUUUGAGCUUUGUGUUUAGUCUCAAAUAAAGUGUAAGUGUAAUCGACUGCAUUUACUGUAUGUACCUCAUGGAAAGUAUAUGCAGAUCCUUGACUAUAGGAGAUAGCCUUAUAACCACUGUAUGCCUCUUGCGCUUUGAAAAUUUCUGGAACAUAAAGAGAGAGAUGGAAUUAACUUCAGAAUUUCAGAAUUAUGAGGAACAGUAAGGAUCUUAAUAAGGAUCUGUUAUGAUUAACAUAAACUUCUCGACUGCUGUCCCAAUAUUUGGUUCACUUUAAAUAUCCGGUGCUGUUUAACCUAAUCGUUAGGUUUCAGAUGUAAGAAAACAGACAAAACUUCUCUUUUUUUUUAUGCUGUAAAAAGUUCAAAACAUCAACCAGAGGUGAUGACUGCCUCUGUUCUUUUUUGUGUGUUUGUGUAUUUUUGUACUACAAAAGAGUCAGAGAUAUUCUGUAGCACCCAAUUUUUUGUGAUAUGAGCCAAAGAAGUAAGACAAAAUAUAAUUCAACUUUAAAUUUACUUACCAACUCUACCUAUAAAAUCUACCUAAAAAAAAGGACAGAAUUCAGUCAACAUUAUUAUAAAAAGCUGUGAAAUGUCUAGAAAAAAAUGAGAAAAUGAGUCAAAACUUAUAAAUUGAUUCACCUGUGAACAAAAAUUAACAAAAAGAAUGAUUGAAACAAUCAAAAAUAACAAAAUAACAAAAAUCAAGCUUACAGUUUGUUUGUAUUUAAAGAACAAGUCUUAAUUUUAACUG